AAACAAAAAAAAAACUUAGAAGUAGAAUAAAACCUUGUGAAUAAACAAAUUCUCUAGUGUUGUAGCUUUGGCAGUGAUCUUGAAAAUGGCGAAUCAGCAGCAAGCAUCGAGUAGGCCAUGGAUACUCGAAGUCGUACCUCUUCUAGUCGUCAUACUAAUCGCUGCUCAUGUCCUAGCUUUGGUAUAUUUUCCCUAUCUCUUACUGUGUUUGUGUUUUUUAACUAGUACAUACUGUGAUUUUUUGAGUCAUUUACUGAAUUUGGGUGUAGGUGUACUGGAUUUACCGGCUAGCAACUGAGAAACAGCCUCAGAGGAGAAAAAAGCACUAGCAAUAUGUAGAUUAGAUGAAUUUUCAUUUCGCUUCAGCUUUUGGGAAAAUUCAAGGUACAAAAACCCUAGUAUUUCCUUGUGUUUUCUUAUUCUCCUUUAAGUUUGUGAAACUUUCAAUUGUUCUUUGAAAUUUGAAUUACUCAAAAUAGAAAUUUGAAUUACUCAAGAAUUUGAGUUUUUGAAAAUUAUAUUACGGUUAAAUUAUUGUUGAAUAUUUGUCCUGUUUGUACAAUUAUCACUUGGAAUUUUGUAAAUAUUCAUAGAUUUAUAUGCCAGUAAAAAUAUAGAGAACUUGUAAUAUUGUUAUGGUUAUUAUUUAUAUAUAUUUAACUUAUUUUCAUUUUUCUUAUUUGAUGUGAUGUUGACAUGAGUUGAGCUUAAAUGGAGAAAUAGCGAAAGUAAGGAUUCAUAUUGCCGACCCCAACUUGUUUGGGAUUAAGACAUAGUUGUUGUUGUAGAGAUCACUCUGUGAGGUGUCAAUUCUAUUGGAUGAAGAAAUUUGGUAUUGGGUGGUCGUUUUUUUUUGUUGUUGCUUUCUUUGAGUUGGACUGCCCAUAUUUAUAUUGCCUGAUGUAUAAGAUGGCUGCAAAUGUGAAUGGAUUUUUAUAGCAGUCACGGGAGAGUGAAUUCUUCUUUUCUUUUGCUAUUGAACUUUUUUAAGAGGCACGUGAUGUGAAUGUUAAAUAUGAUAGAGAAGUCCUUGGAGUCAAAUUGGAAUAGACUAAGCAUUGCGGUAAGUUGAAGAAUAGCUGGUAUGUGCAAAGUUUCCAUUCACGUUUGUGUUUUGGUAGUGUGCAACAAAGAAAUAGAAGGUUGUUAUUUGUUAAAGGAAUAUGAAGACUAUUUAAAAUCUAGUGCUUUGAUCUUAAUCCUCUUCUUCUUGAAGGAUAGAAGGAAAGCAAUAACUUAACUGGGUGAGAAGGUAGCAAAUUUCUACUAAAAAGAAACAAUAAAGCAGAGGAUGGAACCGACUCUUACAGGGACCUUAUUUUGGUGAACUUGCGUAUCAAAAUCUUUUGAAGUGAUAAUUUAGUUAAAUUAGGUAAUUGGAGUCAACUUUUGUUAAGGAGAUGAGGUUGGGGGAAGUCCUGUGCAAUCUUCUAAGGGGGUAAGGUGGAAAACCUUCUCUAAGAGUGAAAGCCUUUUUUUCUCCUUUGAUGUGGCUUCAUACUAAGCUAGGAUGCCAUGGAACUGUAUGAAGAAUGUUUUUAUACUUAGCGGAAAGUGAUCGCUUCAUUGCUUAAAGCUAUAGAUUGAUGUGAAGCAUGAGCUUAUCACUUAUUAUGUGUGGAGUUAUGUGACUUAGAGUGGUGCAAGGCAAUUUGAGCAAGAAUUACUCGCCGUCUUUUUUCUUCUGUUUCAGCAUUUGUUUAGAGGUGAUAUUCUUAUAACUGAUGGUGUUGAAGAAGUGCAACAGUUUGUGUAAGAAUCUUGAACUCUGAUACUAAUAUUGAUGUAGCACCAAAAGGAAGGAGGGAGAACAAGGAGACAAAUACAGAGAGAUAGUGAUUGAGAUAAGGAAUCAAAUCAUAAAAUAUAAUUUAUCAAAUGAAGUGGUUCAUCAAACUGAAAGGAGGGUCUCAGGGUCCUAUUUAUAUAUAGGGAACAUUGUACAAGGUAGAAUCCUAAUUCAGUAGGAACUUUAUCUCUAAAUAAGAGAUAAAAAUAAAAUCAAAGAUAGAUACUAUCAAUCUUAUUUACUAACCUUUUUCAUGUUUCUGAAGAAAAAAGAAGAUAACGGUAAAAUAAAACAAGGGAUAAUGAUAAAGAUGUGAAGUAAAAACUAAGCUAGCUAAUGAUAAAUAUAAGAUCUACUCUAAAAAGACAAUAAAUUCAUCUAAGAUCAAUAAUAAAAUCUUCCAAAUCUUUUAGUAUGUACAUCAGUUGACUUCAACUAUUCAUUUCUAAGGGGUUCUGGUGAUUAGAGGCUCUUAAAUGGUGUUAUGUGCAAGAAGUUGUGGUCUUCUGCCGAAGUCAAUGAUUUAUUUCCUGGCUUACCUGCUAAUGAUAAAAGAACCCUUAAAACUUUGCAAGUCUGGUGGAUUUCUGGUGCAUUUAGUGGGAGUGUAGUGGAAAAAAUAAUCUUAAGAGCAUUUUAUGUCUCCAGUAAUGUUUAGGAUAGGAUAGUUUUGAAAGAUCAGGUGUUUUGGUGAUUAAGUGUUAGAUGAUCUCCAGUGGGAUUGCUGAGCAUUCCAUACUUGAGAACAUCAGGUCUUACUGUCUCUUUUUCCGUUUACUCUAAGUACUUCUCUCAGAAGUCCUGCUGACUGGUGGCAAAACUUUUAGCGUACAUAGAUGGUUCGAUAAAAUUAUUAGGGAUUAAGUGAAGAAGGUAAUACCUUUAUAUAUGAUUACAAAUUAUUAUUAUGGCUUGAAAUAUCAUGCUUAUAUAAUAUAAAGAUGGAUACUUUUGCAUUUAUCUGGUGAUGAUUGGUGAUACCUUGACGGAGCUUCGCUUAAAAAAGCCAUGAUCUAGGAUUGCUGGGAUGUCAUUCGGAAUUUCCAGCUACAGAGCAUAAGCCAGAAAAGGUCUAUUUAUUUAUUUAUUUAUUUAUUUAUUUUCUUUUCUUUUGGGAGUGGUAUGUGGGGUUGAAAUUUGUGAGAUUGUUAUAUUGAUGAUUGUUAGAAAAACUUGACGGACUUCACUGAGUAAGAGUAUCAACUACUAGCAUGCUGUUAAAGUAUCUGAACAUGAGAUUUAAGAAUGGAGAUUAAAAGAUAUAGAACAUUCUAGCAAACAGAGGCUAACUUUAGAGAACCCUACAUCAAAUUCAAAAUACUACUGCUUCCUUUAGUUUAACAAUUUGUAUCCCAUAUUGGUGCGUAAGGGCAACCGGAGAGUUUUAUAAAGGUCUUGAAACUCCACCUAUUGACUUAACAUUUUGGAUUGGAUGCUCAAAUUGUUUCACAUGAUAUUAAUGCCAAUUCCACUCGUAAAUCCACAUGGAAGUCCAUGUAUGAAUACCAUAUAGGGAAGGGUGUUGAACUAUAUAAUAUCUCACAUCAGGGAUAAGCGAUUCAGAGGAGUUUAUAAAGGUUUGAGCUACUCAACUGGAGGUUUGAGUUGCAUGUUCAAUUCUUUCCCUUUUUGUAGAAAAGAAAAUAAAGAAAUAAAAGUAUCCCCUCUCUAAUUGUUUAAGUAGAAGUCUUGAGUUCGAUCCUUAUCUUCACCCAGUGAUAAAAGUAUUUACAUGUUCUUGGUCCAAGAGAAAGAAUUAGAUAUUUAGACCCACAUGUGAGGUAGGGUGUUGUAGUCUUGUAGACAUAAAGUAAAUAAUUAUAAACACCUCUUCUCUGAAAUGGGUCACACGAAUCAACAACUCUCGGAUGGAAUAAUCACAUUUAUUUAUCAUUUCUGGAUAAUCUCCAAUAAUCUAAAAAGCAAAGUUAUAACAGUUUAAUGAGGUGACCAAAGUUAGAUAUUGUACAUUCAUUUCUGACGUGCGUUGCAUCUACACCAUCCAUCGUUUGAUAACUGAUUUUCUUGUAUGCAGUGAUUUUAUCAGAUACUGAAUGGUCAUGUUUGUGGUUAUUCAGGUUGAUCUUUGAUUACUUUGAGGAGCUAUAUCUUGACUUUGAUGCAUGCUGUUCUCUAUCUUUUAUAAUGUUCCCUUCUGUUAACUCUGAACUCAUCAGUUAACUACUCCAGAAGGAGCAUAUCUAUUACCAAUUCUAUCGUGCAUUGCAUUGUUGUUGUAGAACAUUUUGUCUGAGUUUUCGAGUAUAAAGACUAAAGAGUCAAAGCCUCUGCAUCUUACAAGAUAUCUCAGGCUAUUACAAGUCCUAUUUUGAAAAGUAAUUGUCGUUCAUGCUGUCAAACGUUAUGUUCCUCUUUUACUUCUCAGCUUUUGUUUUUCAGUUUCGCUUUCUGAUGACUGAGAAUUUGUUUUUGUUUGUUAGUAGGGAUUCAUUCUAUACCGGUUCAGAAGCAAGCUUUACACUCAAGGCUUUGGUGAUUGGUCAGCCCUCUUUGCCUAAGCAUACACGUGUCCUCUUUUUCUCCAUGAAUUUGUGUGCAAUUAUGCUGGAAAAGUUUGGGAUUUGUUACAUGUUAAUGGAUCGCGUUAAUCACUUGCCAUUGUUGAGAAACUUCUACAUUCUUCUAUUAACGUCAGUGCUGUGCAUUUAUACCCCAAGUUUGUAAUUCUUCUACAGGAUUUUCAUCACUAAUCCUCUUUUGGUGUGUGUGCUUUGUCAACAGUCUUUGCUAGAGCCUGUCAUACAGUUGUAGUUUCUUAUGCAUAGGGAACUUGAGUCAUACAUGUAAAGUUGAUCUAGUAUGAAAAUUGCAACAGAAGUUUGAGGAUUAUUAGGUGUAAUUGGCUGUUUGAGUGAGUUAUAUAAACUUGUGUAAAGUGGACUGAUGUAGACAGAAAAGAUUUUGUCAACCAAAAUUUACUAAACAUUGGUCAUAUUUCAGUCCAUUUUAAUCUUUCAAA
rnacentral:lncRNA from 1 species